rnacentral:rRNA from 1 species
AUUCCUACGGGACGCCGCAGUGGGGCUUAUUGCAGUUUUGGGGGAACUCUGAUGCAGCGACGCCGCGUGGGUGAAGGAGUACUUCGGUACGUAAAGCCCUAUCAGCAGGAAAGAAAAUGACGGUACCUGACUAAGAAUCCCCGGCUAACUACGUGCCAGCAGCCGCGGUAAUACGUAGGGAGCAAGCGUUAUCCGGAAUUAUUGGGUGUAAAGGGUGCGUAGACGGGACAGCAAGUUAGUUGUGAAAGCCCUCGGCUUACCUGAGGAACUGCAACUAAAACUAUUGUUCUUGAGUGCGGGAGAGG